UACCUUGAACAUGUUUGAUAGACAUAGUUUUUCGGGUUUAUAAUAGUUCAUUUUUAAAAACCUAACCUAAGAAGAUGUGUGCGUGCCGAAGAGAAACUUUGAUGGGCUUUAUUUGCAUGGGAGAGGGCACCAUAGGAUCUGGACGGACAGAUGAGAUCAGCAAGAGGGGGAAGAUCAAUCCGUGGGAGGUCCAUGUCGACCAAUGAUAAUGCGACCUCUCGAUCCGGAGAGGACCGCGGCCUCUUCUCCGGCGAGGACGGGGCCGUACGUGAGGAAGGCGCGCUGGACCGCAGGCCUCGCUGCCUACGGAUCUGACCGCGCCUGGCCUCUCCUGGCGGCGGCGUGCUCUCCGAGAAGAAGAGGGAGCGCACGCCACCACCGCGCCAGAGGAGGAGACGGGGUUGGAUAUGCGUAAGGAGGAGGAAGAGAAGGAGUCCGUGGAGCUGGACCUCGCCAUGAACGGUACCCCUGCCUGCUUCCACCCCGAGGGCCGGGCUGCUACUCAAGUGCUGGUUCAAGGUGUCAUGCAUGGGGUAACUAGAAGUUAAUCCUCUUCUAAUUUGCUUCUCCUCGAUUGAUUGCGCGCCGGGAGAGGCCGUGGUGGUCACUGCUUCCUCCGUCCUGUUUGCAUCGCCUCCGCCAACAGUGCGCCACUUGCUUGCUGUACGUACAGGCUGCUGGAUUCACAGAAGAUGCUUGUUCGAGGUGUCACGGCGUCGGACGCGUAGGAGUAGGAGCCCGUGGAGCUCGACCUCAGCAUGAACGGCACCAUCCACCCCUGAUUCCACCCCGAGGGCUGGGCUGCUAGAUUUACUGAAGAUACUUGUUCGAGGUGUCACGGGGUAGUAAGUUGAUCCUCCUUUGGUUUGCUUGAGGGGUAGUAGCCCGCCUUCUCGUCGAUUGCCCGCUGGGAGAGGCGGUGGUGGUCACUGCUUCCUCCGUCCUGUUUGCACCGCCUCCUCCAACACUGCACCACUUGCUGUACGUACAGACCGCUAGAGAUUGACUGAAGAUGCUUGUUCGAGGUGUCAUGGGGUAAUUAGUUAAUCAUCCUCUGGGUUGCUUGAGGGGGACAAGCCCACCUUCUCCUCGAUUGUUUGCUGGGAGAAGCGGUGGUGGUCACUGCUUCCUGCGUCGUGUUUACAUCGCCUCCACCAACAUUGCCACUUGUUGUACGUACAGCACCCCCGGUGAGCUUGGCCUUGUGGACGGGGACUAAAGCAGGAUAGCUCGUCACCGAGGGUGCUCGCGUGGCUGAUGGUGGCCGUGACGAGGGUGCUCAAGGUUGACGCCACAUCCACCCAAGACCUAGCCCGCCUUCUCCAGACCCGCGCACUGCGUGAUGAGGGGGCAGCCACUGCUUCCUCCACCAUGUUCCACUGACACCGUGCUGCUUGCUUGUUGUAUGUACAGAUGGGAUUGGGCCAACGUUACUAGUCCUCGGGCAACAAGGAAUAGCAGGUGUAAGCCAUCAGUCUUCUGUUUUCCAGAACAACAAUCUUGCCUUCGUAGUAUGAGCUCUGAACAGCAAGGCCCCAACCAAGCCCAUGAUGGCUAGACAGUACAGCAAUGCAUCAUCAUUGGACUAUGCUGCCAUUCUUAGUUCAACCUUCUGUGUAGUUUUCACUUGGUCUCAUGUUCAUCCAGCUCUCCACUGUCACCGUUGCUGGUGACGUUGUGGUUCUGCCUUGCCUACGAAUAGUAACAAGAUGUGGCUCUUUUUCCAAUCUAAUUUUCUGCAUUCUCGGUAGUGGUGGUUGCCUCUUCGUCGUUUCAGGUGGCUGGGGUUCUGGCAUGGCGUGCCUGAUGUUGCCCGUGCUCCCGUUCCUAUGCCCGUGAAGUUGUACGGCUGCUUCGAUCAUGUACAAAAUCAUAAAUUGAGACGGGAUUGGGCUAACAUUACUAGUCCUCGGGCAACAACGAAUAGCAGGUGUAAGCCAUCACAGUCUUCUGUUUUCCAAAACAGCAGUCUUGCCUUCGUUGAGUGAGUAUGAGCUCUGGACAGCGAUGCCCCAACCAAGCCCAUGAUGGCCAGACAGUACAAUAAUGCAUCCUCACUGGACUAUGUCACCAAUCUUUAGUAUCAUCUUUCUGUGUAGGUUCCACUCGGUCUCAUCUUCGUCCAGCUCUCCACCGUCACCGUGUGAUGGCGAUGUUGUUCCACCUCGGCUACAAACAGUAAGAUGUAUGACUGUGGCAACUUAGGUCCAAUUGGCCCAUUGCCAUCGAGAGUGAUGAUGAUGAUGUGGUUACCCUCAAAAGUCGCAAGGCACUGAGGAGAGAAGUACCCCAAGAGCUGCAUGAAAUGGCAAGAGUAGCAGGAUGUUAAAGCAACUGGGGCGCUUUGUUUGCAUUGAGUGUUGAAACACCCACAAUAUGGAGAUAUUGACACUGCAGGAGAGGUGCAUCGAUUGUCCGUGAUGUUCAGACUCAAGAUCUUCCUGAAGGAGGACGGCGUGGUGAACCUCGAGACCAUCAUCGCGGGCGAUGAGUAACAGAAGCUGGCCAUGGUGGAUUAGAUUCAUCAGCAUAGUUUGUUUGUUGUGGUGUUGGAUUAGCUUUUUCUUGUGAGAAAUUUUUUGGUAAGAUGAUUUGGAGUGCACGCAUUUAUUUGAACGGAUUCAUUCUUGAUUGAUUUGAAUAGAUCUCAGGAAAUGAUCUGGAAAGGCCAUUCGGUCGAGUGGUGAUGUUGGUUUUGUCUCGAGGACACUCGUGACUUGUAAACUUUGCAUUGUAUUGUGCGACA